UACAGAGGUGGCAAGCGUUGUUCGGAAUUACUGGGCGUAAAGCGCGUGUAGGCGGCUCUUCAAGUCAGGCGUGAAAGCCCCGGGCUCAACUCGGGAACUGCGCUUGAUACUGUCGAGCUAGAGUGUGGAAGGGGCGAUUGGAAUUCCGUGUGUAGCGGUGAAAUGCGUAGAUAUACGGAGGAACACCAGAGGCGAAGGCGGAUCGCUGGGCCAACACUGACGCUGAGACGCGAAAGCUAGGGUAGCAAACGGG
rnacentral:rRNA from 2 species